UUUACUUGGCCUCACGGAAUGGGUCCCACUUCAUCAUAUUUUGGAUCAAGACUUAAACUCAAAAUUUGUUUUAAUCCAAUCAUCUAUCAUAUCUAAAGUUGUGAUUUCGGCCUAGUUCUUCUUUGCUGGUAUAGUUUUUUGGAACUCUUGUUCUUUUCUUUUUUUUUUCCUUUUGUUCAACUGGAACUCUUGUUCAGUGACAUAAUCUUUAUCUACUAUUGGAAGAACCGUUUUCGGUUAUUGUAGAUUUUUUCGUCCUUUUCGGUUAGCCGCUAUAUCAAACUUUUUUUUAUAUGGUUUAGAUGCGGUCGAGGUGGUUUUUAGUAGAUUCUCGAAUUUAGUGUUUGAACUCUUUGUAUUAGUUUUGGAUUUGGUCCCUUCUGGUUUUUGGCUUCCCUAUUGCUCAGGGUACUGUAGAUACUUUUUUUUUUGGACUUCUUCGAAAAUAUUCAUCGACUUCAUUUCUAAAGUAAAAUCUAUUCCGUUAACUGUGGGGUGUUGUAACUUUUCAUUAAUUUUCUAAUCUAUUUAUUAGAUAACAAAAAAAAAGAGCUAUUAUUUCUGUUUUAAUUUUCAUGUCUUCAUCCGUACUAUAUAUUCACAAAUCAUAACGACAAGUAGACAAAAAUAUGUAUUUAUAUUCCCUUUUCUUUUGUUAAUAUAAGAUAUAUCAUAUAUGUUUAUUCUUUCCGACCAAAUUUCUUUUCUUUGUUAGAUUUCUUUCUUUUAUUUUUGUUUGAUGGUGUGAUUGGAGAGAUACAAUUGGAUAGCAAAUCAAUUGUAUAAACAAUAUAUCAAGA
rnacentral:lncRNA from 1 species